GCCAAUACCAUGCACAUACAUUUUGGUCUUAAAAAAAAUAAUAGUAAUUAGUAUUGGGUGUGUCACAAACAAGACACACCCAAUACCAAAAUAUUUAUAUUAUAUCAAGAUCAUAGCUCAGUAAGCAAUUCAAGCAGAAUUUAACAUUAAAGAAUAUGAGCGCAAAAUACUGCCAAUUUUCUUCUGCCCAAAACCAAUUUAACCUAGGACUAGACAAUCACAACGCUUGAUGGGAUUAAAGUGUACACCCCCCUCCUACCCAGAACAGAGGUAUGCAGAGGACUGAUUUUAGGAUGUGUGGCACUGGGCCAUAUCAGACUAUUUAGUGAGCCAUAAAUGACCCUUGGGCCUGUACACUUAGACCGCUACAGUAGCACAACACCCAUGGACCUCCGAUCAUAGUCACCCUGGCAUAAUGGGAGAUGGUAAGAAGCUCCUAAAGUAAGUUCUAGGGAUUUUAUCUGUAAGACAGGUUAAAU